UAGGGAAUCUUCCACAAUGGACGCAAGUCUGAUGGAGCAACGCCGCGUGAGUGAAGAAGGUUUUCGGACCGUAAAGCUCUGUUGUUGGUGAAGAAGGAUAGAGGUAGUAACUGGCCUUUAUUUGACGGUAAUCAACCAGAAAGUCACGGCUAACUACGUGCCAGCAGCCGCGGUAAUACGUAGGUGGCAAGCGUUGUCCGGAUUUAUUGGGCGUAAAGCGAGCGCAGGCGGAAGAAUAAGUCUGAUGUGAAAGCCCUCGGCUUAACCGAGGAAUUGCAUCGGAAACUGUUUUCUUGAGUGCAGAAGAGGAGAGUAGAACUCCAUGUGUAGCGGUGGAAUGCGUAGAUAUAUGGAAGAAUACCAGUGGCGAAGGCGGCUCUCUGGUCUGCAACUGACGCUGAGGCUCGAAAGCAUGGGUAGCGAACAGGAUUAGAUACCCUUGGUAGUCCAUGCCGUAAACGAUGAGUGCUAAGUGU
rnacentral:rRNA from 1 species